UACGUAGGCAGCGAGCGUUGUUCGGAGUUACUGGGCGUAAAGGGUGUGUAGGCGGUUGUUUAAGUUUGGUGUGAAAUCUCCCGGCUCAACUGGGAGGGUGCGCCGAAUACUGAAUGACUUGGAGUGCGGGAGAGGAGAGUGGAAUUCCUGGUGUAGCGGUGAAAUGCGCAGAUAUCAGGAGGAACACCAAUGGCGAAGGCAGCUCGCUGGGACGGUACUGACGCUGAGACGCGAAAGCGUGGGGAGCAAACAGG
rnacentral:rRNA from 1 species